rnacentral:pre_miRNA from 1 species
AAAUAUCAGCUGGUAAUUCUGGGAAACAUGAAAUACCCAGAUUGCUCGCUGGUAUCUGG